AACGCACGAGACCUGCGGACCUGCGGAGGGAUCAUUACCGAGUUAUCCAACUCCCAACCCCUGUGAAUUAUACCUUUAAUUGUUGCUUCGGCGGGACUUCGCGCCCGCCGGGGACCCGAACCUUCUGAAUUUUUUAAUAAGUAUCUUCUGAGUGGUUAAAAAAAUGAAUCAAAACUUUCAACAAUGGAUCUCU
rnacentral:misc_RNA from 1 species